AACUGCCCAAUCCUGAGAACGGGCGUCGCAUUGGUGACAGUUAUCAGGUUAAUGACACGGUAUCCUUUGAAUGUAAUGUGGGUUACACUUUGCAUGGCUCUGAACAACGAACCUGCCAGCCCAACAAGGUAUGGGAUGGAGAAACAUCGUAUUGUUAUGGUUAAAAGAAACACUUACCAGACCGUGGAAAAGGGAAACCCACACACAUUCCACAAUGACUCAUGCUACAGAGAACAGCAGGCCUAUACCUGAGCAUUGCGAUUGGGUGUAUAUUUGUUCACAGGAGUGGAACCAGUUGUUUGGCAUUCCCAUGUGGUUGAUACCUAAGAUUCAUCGCAGGCUAGGCAUUGCCUCUACUUGCCCAUCUUUCACACCAGCCAAUCAGAAUUGAUUCUGUAUCCCUUUUCAGUGUCCUAACUGGUAUAUAGACAUAGAUAUUGAUAAAUAGAUAUCUAUAUCAGAAAGGAUUUCAUUUACAUAUUUGUCAGAACAAGCAGACGUUGACUUCAACUACAUAAAAGCCUUCAGAAUAAAUUAUGGACUGAAUAGGAUGCGAUAUGCGGCGUCACCUAUCAUAUCAGAUUUAUUAAAUGAGUGGUACAAUUCAAUUGUUUGCAGUCUCUCUAGCUUUAAACAAACGAA